rnacentral:rRNA from 1 species
UGGGGAAUAUUGCACAAUGGGCGCAAGCCUGAUGCAGCCAUGCCGCGUGUAUGAAGAAGGCCUUCGGGUUGUAAAGUACUUUCAGCGGGGAGGAACGGAGUAAAGUUAAUACCUUUACUCAUUGACGUUACCCGCAGAAGAAGCACCGGCUAACUCCGUGCCAGCAGCCGCGGUAAUACGGAGGGUGCAAGCAUUAAUCGGAAUUACUGGGCGUAAAGCGCACGCAGGCGGUCUGUCAAGUCGGAUGUGAAAUCCCCGGGCUCAACCUGGGAACUGCAUUCGAAACUGGCAGGCUAGAGUCUUGUAGAGGGGGGUAGAAUUCCAGGUGUAGCGGUGAAAUGCGUAGAGAUCUGGAGGAAUACCGGUGGCGAAGGCGGCCCCCUGGACAAAGACUGACGCUCAGGUGCGAAAGCGUGGGGAGCAAACAGG